GACGAACCGUCCAAACGUUAUUCGGAAUCACUGGGCUUAAAGGGCGCGUAGGCGGCAUGACAAGUCACUUGUGAAAUCUCCGGGCUUAACUCGGAACGGCCAAGUGAAACUGUCAAGCUAGAGUGCGGAAGGGGCAAUCGGAAUUCUUGGUGUAGCGGUGAAAUGCGUAGAUAUCAAGAGGAACACCUGAGGUGAAGACGGGUUGCUGGGCCGACACUGACGCUGAUGCGCGAAAGCCAGGGGAGCAAACGGG
rnacentral:rRNA from 1 species